AUGGUGGCUCGAAGGUCUUGCCACCUCCCAGCGCCAUCAUGUCAGGGAUGAAAUUCCAGCCCGUGCACUUGGGCGGAGCAGAAUCUGAACCUGCAGGCGCAGCCUCGGGGUGGCGCGGCCUCGGUGAUUGGCAGUGAGCUCCCAGAGGCUGCCGGUUCCAACUGUGCCCUCUGGCUCAGUGCCACACCCAGGAGAUGCGUGGACUCUGGGCACCAAGCAUCCAGUCAGAACCGGUGUAUUUUGAAGAAGCCAUUUCUAUCUCUGUGUUGGCCUCAUGGCAGGCUAAUGAAGACACGUGUUUCCUGCCGCCUCAGCACAGGGUUUGGUCUCACCUGGUUUCAGGGAGACGACAGGAACACCUCACCUGAGGAAGCUGCACUGAUGCGAGCAUCACCUGAAACCAGCAAGUGUAACCUCUGCAUCGAAGAGACACCUGACACUCAUGAGUCCUGAAAUGAAUCAUAUUAGUAAUAAAUAUGAAAUAAACACAU